GCUCCUUCAAAACCAGUCUAUUCUGUGGGUCCCCGUGGACUUUUUUAAUGAAUCCCCAAAAUGAAUGGCAAUGCAUGCGCCUCCUGGGAUCACCUGGCUCCUGAGGACCUUUGAUGCAACUACUUGGUUGCAGGUUGGACUGAAGACUCUGUUCCCACAAAUGUGUUCCUCCGUCACCUCCUGCCCCUGGUCUCCACCUGCCGCAGUCCUAUUCAUCCUUCCUGGCUCAUCGUGGAGUCUACCUCCAUCAAGCCUCUCCUGAUUUCCCUAACGAGAUGUCAUCACUGACUCCUAACCCUUCCUUGCAGAGCUCAAGUUUCCAGCAGGUUGAGCUCAAGGAGAAGAUUACAGAUGUAACUCAGCAUGGACGCUCCCCUAAGAAGCCAUCCCUGACAGAACCCAAUGCCUUGAGGUCAUCCCUUCUUCCUUGUAUUACCUUGCACCCUGUAUACACUUUAAUCAUUGCUCUUAUCACGCUGAAGUGUCAUUAUUUACACACUUGUGCUUUUUUCUGCCAGAUUAUGAAUUCCAUGAAAAAAGAGAUUGUGCUUUCUGCAUCUCUAGCCAAGCAUCUGCCACAUGAUUGAACAACUCACCCUGACCUCUGAUGCUACAGGGGUGCUGCCCAAUGUCCUUGCAGAGACUUGUUUCAACAGACAAGGAAGAGGCCAGAACCACUGCAGCCUGACUGGAGACAGGUACUGACUGAGCUAGGGUCAGCUUUCUAUUACAGCAGAGGGAGAGCUUGAAGAGAAAGCAUAAACUAAG
rnacentral:lncRNA from 13 species